rnacentral:rRNA from 1 species
UUUUCCAAUCAAUGAAAUUAAUCUCCUCGUGCAGAAGCGAGGAUAUAAACAUAAGACGAGAAGACCCUAUGGAGCUUCAAACACCUAAGUUAUUUCUAAACAUAACCAUCCAAUCCAUGGAUAUAACACUUAACAAAGAAGUUUUAACUUAACUUGUUUUUGGUUGGGGCGACCAAGGAGAAAAACAAAACCUCCUUAUCGAAUGUGUGAGCAAUCACUCAAAAAUUAGAACUAAUCUUCUAAUUAAUAGAAAACCUAACGAACAAUGACCCAGGGAGUAUCCCCUGAUCAAUGAACCAAGUUACCCUAGGGAUAACAGCGCAAUCCUUU